UCUGGUUGUAUGGGACUUGAAGUACCGUGGUCAGGUGCUCUACCUCUAGCGGAGCCUAGUAGCACAUCAGUACCUGGUUUUCAAAUGGAUUAUCAUUCUCACUGCAGGAUCUUUCUUGAGAACUCUAUGGUACACACUGGAUUCUAUUGAGGUUUGUCAUACAUUCCACAUAGAACCUUUUCCCAUCAUAGGGACCUCAGACACCACAGGGCUAGCCAGGUCAUGUGGUCAAAGCCACAGAUCCUGUUAUAUCACAGCCCAGACUUGGGCCAGAGCCAUUUCCUUGCCUGAGCUUUACUCAAAGCUGGCAGUCUCUGGUGUCACCUAGCAGGUGGACUGGAGCCGUAUUUCCCAAGUGUGGCAGAUGCUGUCUUCAGGAAUUGAAGAGGUUGUCCUUGUGUUUUUUUUCUUAGUGGUGGUGCAGCAAGUGAUAAUCUGUCUUUUACUCUGGAAAAAAAUGCCCCAACUUCUCCAGGCCACUGAUUUCCAACAAAUGUCACAGAUAAGGCAGACCUCGGGUUCAUAGAGUUUAUUACGAAUGCUCUGAAGUGCACGCGCCUUUGCAAAGCCUCCAGGGCACUUGCCACUUCUUGCUCAUCCCAUCUGAUCAAGACUAUGUCAUUGAUGUCGUGACCGACGUGAUGCUUUCCACAGUGUCCAGGUGGUGCAGGCCCCUCCUCAUUAUAUUCUGACGGCCGGCUGGAUACCUUCUUGUGUGUUCCAGCGGCAAGUGAGGCAAAUCACCCACGGGCGCCGCCGCAGCUUCACGCGCUGCCAUGAGGACAGGAAAGAUGUUGCCAUGAAAGAACACCAAUAUUUAUUGCCUAGAGAAAGUUAAACUUCUAUUUUAACCACAACAGAUAGUCCAGCCAAAAACUCAGCAGGAGGAGGGAGAACUCGGGCCGUGUGGCCUGGACUGUAUUUGCCAGGAUGUAGCAUAUUGUUCUUGGUGGGGGCUGAAGAAAGACGGUGAGGAAAACCAGCUCCGUGACUGAAACCCAAACUCACUUUGCACACUCAGGAAGUGAAGUGGCCUCUAUUUUUUCAUCUGUUUACAUACUUUGUCGUUUGGGGUCUCUGCCUCUUGCAGUCAGUCUGGAAUCGCCCAGAACGUUCCCCGUCCUUUUGUAGACGUGGCACCGAGAACACAGUGGAAACCCUCCCCAGGGGCUGGUCACAGAAAUGACCCUGGUGUUCCCCAUUCGGAGACUGAAUGCUCAGCAAAUGCCUGCAGAGCAAAUGGUGGG